rnacentral:rRNA from 1 species
GACGAACGCUGGCGGCGUGCCUAAUACAUGCAAGUCGAGCGAAGUUUUUCUGGUGCUUGCACCGGAAAAACUUAGCGGCGAACGGGUGAGUAACACGUAAAGAACCUGCCUCAUAGACUGGGACAACUAUUGGAAACGAUAGCUAAUACCGGAUAACAGCAUUAACUGCAUGGUUGAUGUUUAAAAGUUGGUUUUGCUAACACUAUGAGAUGGCUUUGCGGUGCAUUAGCUAGUUGGUGGGGUAAAGGCCUACCAAGGCGACGAUGCAUAGCCGACCUGAGAGGGUGAUCGGCCACACUGGGACUGAGACACGGCCCAGACUCCUACGGGAGGCAGCAGUAGGGAAUCUUCCGCAAUGGGCGAAAGCCUGACGGAGCAACGCCGCGUGAGUGAAGAAGGAUUUCGGUUCGUAAAGCUCUGUUGUUAGGGAAGAAGGAUUGUGUAGUAACUAUACACAGUAGAGACGGUACCUAACCAGAAAGUCACGGCUAACUACGUG